rnacentral:rRNA from 1 species
CCUACGGGUGGCUGCAGUGAGGAAUAUUGGUCAAUGGCCGAGAGGCUGAACCAGCCAAGUCGCGUGAGGGAAGACGGCCCUACGGGUUGUAAACCUCUUUUGUCGGGGAGCAAAGAGAGUCACGUGAGAAUCAUUGAGAGUACCCGAAGAGAAAGCAUAGGCUAACUCCGUGCCAGCAGCCGCGGUAAUACGGGGGAUGCGACGGUUAUCCGGAUUUAUUUGGUUUAAAGGGUGGGCAGGCGGAGGUGCACGUCAGCGGUCAAGUUGCGGGGCGCAACCCCGUACUGAGGGUGACACUGGAAGACUUGAGUGUGUUUGAGGUAGGCGGAAUGCGUGGUGUAGCAGUGAAAUGCAUAGAUAUCACGCAGAACUCCGAUUGCGAAGGCAGCUUACUAAGCCAUAACUGACACUGAAGCACGAAAGCGUGGGGAUCAAACAGGAUUAGAUACCCCUGUAGUC